rnacentral:rRNA from 1 species
UGGGCGUAAAGCGUGCGCAGGCGGUUCUAUAAGACAGAUGUGAAAUCCCCGGGCUUAACCUGGGAACUGCGUUUGUGACUGUAGGACUUGAGUGUAGCAGAGGGGGGUGGAAUUCCACGUGUAGCAGUGAAAUGCGUAGAGAUGUGGAGGAACACCGAUGGCGAAGGCAGCCCCCUGGGUUAACACUGACGCUCAUGCACGAAAGCGUGGGGAGCAAACAGGAUUAGGUACCCUGGUAGUCCACGCCCUAAACGAUGCCAACUAGGUGUUGGGGAAGGAGACUUCCUUAGUACCGUAGCUAACGCGUGAAGUUGGCCGCCUGGGGAGUACGGUCGCAAGAUUAGAACUCGAAGGAAUUGACGGGGACCCGCACAAGGCGGUGGAUGAUGUGGAUUAAUUCGAUGCAACGCGAAAAACCUUACCUACCCUUGACAUGUCCGGAAUCCUGCUGAGAGGUGGGAGUGCUCGAAAGAGAGCCGGAACACAGGUGCUGCAUGGCUGUCGUCAGCUCGUGUCGUGAGAUGUUGGGUUAAGUCCCGCAACGAGCGCAACCGUUGUCAUUAGUUGCCAUCAUUUAGUUGGGCACUCUAAUGAGACUGCCGGUGACAAACGCGGAGGAAGGUGGGGAUGACGUCAAGUCCUCAUGGCCCUUAUGGGUAGGGCUUCACACGUCAUACAAUGGUCGGUACAGAGGGUCGCCAACCCGCGAGGGGGAGCCAAUCUCACAAAGCCGAUCGUAGUCCGGAUUGGAGUCUGCAACUCGACUCCAUGAAGUUGGAAUCGCUAGUAAUCGCGAAUCAGA